rnacentral:rRNA from 1 species
GGUUAAGCGACUAAGCGUACACGGUGGAUGCCCUGGCAGUCAGAGGCGAUGAAGGACGUGCUAAUCUGCGAUAAGCGUCGGUAAGGUGAUAUGAACCGUUAUAACCGGCGAUUUCCGAAUGGGGAAACCCAGUGUGAUUCGUCACACUAUCAUUAACUGAAUCCAUAGGUUAAUGAGGCGAACCGGGGGAACUGAAACAUCUAAGUACCCCGAGGAAAAGAAAUCAACCGAGAUUCCCCCAGUAGCGGCGAGCGAACGGGGAGGAGCCCAGAGCCUGAAUCAGUGUGUGUGUUAGUGGAAGCGUCUGGAAAGGCGCGCGAUACAGGGUGACAGCCCCGUACACAAAAAUGCACAUACUGUGAGCUCGAUGAGUAGGGCGGGACACGUGGUAUCCUGUCUGAAUAUGGGGGGACCAUCCUCCAAGGCUAAAUACUCCUGACUGACCGAUAGUGAACCAGUACCGUGAGGGAAAGGCGAAAAGAACCCCGGCGAGGGGAGUGAAAAAGAACCUGAAACCGUGUACGUACAAGCAGUGGGAGCCUCUUAAUGGGGUGACUGCGUACCUUUUGUAUAAUGGGUCAGCGACUUAUAUUCUGUAGCAAGGUUAACCGAAUAGGGGAGCCGAAGGGAAACCGAGUCUUAACUGGGCGUUAAGUUGCAGGGUAUAGACCCGAAACCCGGUGAUCUAGCCAUGGGCAGGUUGAAGGUUGGGUAACACUAACUGGAGGACCGAACCGACUAAUGUUGAAAAAUUAGCGGAUGACUUGUGGCUGGGGGUGAAAGGCCAAUCAAACCGGGAGAUAGCUGGUUCUCCCCGAAAGCUAUUUAGGUAGCGCCUCGUGAAUUCAUCUCCGGGGGUAGAGCACUGUUUCGGCAAGGGGGUCAUCCCGACUUACCAACCCGAUGCAAACUGCGAAUACCGGAGAAUGUUAUCACGGGAGACACACGGCGGGUGCUAACGUCCGUCGUGAAGAGGGAAACAACCCAGACCGCCAGCUAAGGUCCCAAAGUCAUGGUUAAGUGGGAAACGAUGUGGGAAGGCCCAGACAGCCAGGAUGUUGGCUUAGAAGCAGCCAUCAUUUAAAGAAAGCGUAAUAGCUCACUGGUCGAGUCGGCCUGCGCGGAAGAUGUAACGGGGCUAAACCAUGCACCGAAGCUGCGGCAGCGACACUUAUGUGUUGUUGGGUAGGGGAGCGUUCUGUAAGCCUGUGAAGGUGUACUGUGAGGUAUGCUGGAGGUAUCAGAAGUGCGAAUGCUGACAUAAGUAACGAUAAAGCGGGUGAAAAGCCCGCUCGCCGGAAGACCAAGGGUUCCUGUCCAACGUUAAUCGGGGCAGGGUGAGUCGACCCCUAAGGCGAGGCCGAAAGGCGUAGUCGAUGGGAAACAGGUUAAUAUUCCUGUACUUGGUGUUACUGCGAAGGGGGGACGGAGAAGGCUAUGUUGGCCGGGCGACGGUUGUCCCGGUUUAAGCGUGUAGGCUGGUUUUCCAGGCAAAUCCGGAAAACUAAGGCUGAGGCGUGAUGACGAGGCACUACGGUGCUGAAGCAACAAAUGCCCUGCUUCCAGGAAAAGCCUCUAAGCAUCAGGUAACAUCAAAUCGUACCCCAAACCGACACAGGUGGUCAGGUAGAGAAUACCAAGGCGCUUGAGAGAACUCGGGUGAAGGAACUAGGCAAAAUGGUGCCGUAACUUCGGGAGAAGGCACGCUGAUAUGUAGGUGAAGCGACUUGCUCGUGGAGCUGAAAUCAGUCGAAGAUACCAGCUGGCUGCAACUGUUUAUUAAAAACACAGCACUGUGCAAACACGAAAGUGGACGUAUACGGUGUGACGCCUGCCCGGUGCCGGAAGGUUAAUUGAUGGGGUUAGCGGUAACGCGAAGCUCUUGAUCGAAGCCCCGGUAAACGGCGGCCGUAACUAUAACGGUCCUAAGGUAGCGAAAUUCCUUGUCGGGUAAGUUCCGACCUGCACGAAUGGCGUAAUGAUGGCCAGGCUGUCUCCACCCGAGACUCAGUGAAAUUGAACUCGCUGUGAAGAUGCAGUGUACCCGCGGCAAGACGGAAAGACCCCGUGAACCUUUACUAUAGCUUGACACUGAACAUUGAGCCUUGAUGUGUAGGAUAGGUGGGAGGCUUUGAAGUGUGGACGCCAGUCUGCAUGGAGCCGGCCUUGAAAUACCACCCUUUAAUGUUUGAUGUUCUAACGUUGGCCCCUGAUCGGGGUUGCGGACAGUGUCUGGUGGGUAGUUUGACUGGGGCGGUCUCCUCCUAAAGAGUAACGGAGGAGCACGAAGGUUGGCUAAUCCUGGUCGGACAUCAGGAGGUUAGUGCAAUGGCAUAAGCCAGCUUGACUGCGAGCGUGACGGCGCGAGCAGGUGCGAAAGCAGGUCAUAGUGAUCCGGUGGUUCUGAAUGGAAGGGCCAUCGCUCAACGGAUAAAAGGUACUCCGGGGAUAACAGGCUGAUACCGCCCAAGAGUUCAUAUCGACGGCGGUGUUUGGCACCUCGAUGUCGGCUCAUCACAUCCUGGGGCUGAAGUAGGUCCCAAGGGUAUGGCUGUUCGCCAUUUAAAGUGGUACGCGAGCUGGGUUUAGAACGUCGUGAGACAGUUCGGUCCCUAUCUGCCGUGGGCGCUGGAGAACUGAGGGGGGCUGCUCCUAGUACGAGAGGACCGGAGUGGACGCAUCACUGGUGUUCGGGUUGUCAUGCCAAUGGCACUGCCCGGUAGCUAAAUGCGGAAGAGAUAAGUGCUGAAAGCAUCUAAGCACGAAACUUGCCCCGAGAUGAGUUCUCCCUGACUCCUUGAGAGUCCUGAAGGAACGUUGAAGACGACGACGUUGAUAGGCCGGGUGUGUAAGCGCAGCGAUGAGGCUUGUUUGUCCUGUCUGUGACGCGGCUGCUGC